rnacentral:rRNA from 1 species
CCUACGGGCGGCAGCAGUGAGGAAUAUUGGUCAAUGGACGAGAGUCUGAACCAGCCAAGUAGCGUGAAGGAUGACUGCCCUAUGGGUUGUAAACUUCUUUUAUAAAGGAAUAAAACGAGGCACGUGUGCCUUUCUGCAUGUACUUUAUGAAUAAGGAUCGGCUAACUCCGUGCCAGCAGCCGCGGUAAUACGGAGGAUCCGAGCGUUAUCCGGAUUUAUUGGGUUUAAAGGGAGCGUAGAUGGGUUGUUAAGUCAGUUGUGAAAGUUUGCGGCUCAACCGUAAAAUUGCAAUUGAUACUGGCGGUCUAGAGUACAGUUGAGGUAGGCGGAAUUCAUGGUGUAGCGGUGAAAUGCUUAGAGAUCACAAAGAACCCCGAUUGCGAAGGCAGCUUACUAAGCUGUGACUGACAUUGAUGCUCGAAAGUGUGGGUAUCAAACAGGAUUAGAUACCCCAGUAGUC